rnacentral:rRNA from 1 species
AUUGAACGCUGGCGGCAGGCCUAACACAUGCAAGUCGAACGAGUGGCGGACGGGUGAGUAAUGUCUGGGAAACUGCCCGAUGGAGGGGGAUAACUACUGGAAACGGUAGCUAAUACCGCAUACCAUCGGAUGUGCCCAGAUGGGAUUAGCUAGUAGGUGGUGUAACGGCUCACCUGGGCGACGAUCCCUAGCGGGUCUGAGAGGAUGACCAGCAACCCGGGACCUGGUCAAGGGUCCAGACUCUUACGGAGGGCGGCAGUGGGGAAUAUUGCACAAUGGGCGCAAGCCUGAUGCAGCCAUGCCGCGUGUAUGAAGAAGGCCUUCGGGUUGUAAAGUACUUUCAGCGAGAAGGCGUUACUCGCAGAAGAAGCACCGGCUAACUCCGUGCCAGCAGCCGCGGUAAUAC